CCUACGGGAGGCUGCAGUGAGGAAUAUUGGUCAAUGGACGAGAGUCUGAACCAGCCAAGUAGCGUGAAGGAUGACUGCCCUAUGGGUUGUAAACUUCUUUUAUAUGGGAAUAAAAUGUUCCACGUGUGGGAUUUUGUAUGUACCAUAUGAAUAAGGAUCGGCUAACUCCGUGCCAGCAGCCGCGGUAAUACGGAGGAUCCGAGCGUUAUCCGGAUUUAUUGGGUUUAAAGGGAGCGUAGGUGGAUUGUUAAGUCAGUUGUGAAAGUUUGCGGCUCAACCGUAAAAUUGCAGUUGAAACUGGCAGUCUUGAGGACAGUAGAGGUGGGCGGAAUUCGUGGUGUAGCGGUGAAAUGCUUAGAUAGCACGAAGAACUCCGAUUGCGAAGGCAGUUCACUGGACUGCAACUGACACUGAGGCUCGAAAGUGUGGGUAUCAAACAGGAUUAGAUACCCCAGUAGUC
rnacentral:rRNA from 1 species